AGCAGCCGCGGUAAUUCCAGCUCCAAUAGCGUAUAUUAAAGUUGUUGCAGUUAAAAAGCUCGUAGUUGAAUUUCGGGGUUCUACCGUUGGUCGGGCUUUGUCUGUACUGGCGUGUAGAAUUUCUACCUUCUGGGGAACCAUCAUGUUAUUAAUUUAGCGUGGUAGGAAACCAGGACCUUUACCUUGAAAAAAUUAGAGUGUUCAAAGCAGGCUUAUGUCUGAAUACAUUAGCAUGGAAUAAUAGAAUAGGACGGUGGUCCUGUUUUGUUGGUUUCUGAAUCACCGUAAUGAUUAAUAGGGAUAGUUGGGGGCAUUAGUAUUCAAUUGUCAGAGGUGAAAUUCUUGGAUUUAU
rnacentral:rRNA from 1 species